GUCCACGCCGUAAACGAUGGAUACUAGCUGUUUGGAGCAAUCUGAGUGGCUAAGCGAAAGUGAUAAGUAUCCCACCUGGGGAGUACGCUCGCAAAGAGUGAAACUCAAAAGGAAUUGACGGGGGCCCGCACAAGCGGAGGAGCAUGUGGUUUAAUUCGAUGAUACGCGAGGAACCUUACCAAGGCUUAAAAUGGGAAAACGACAGGACUGGAAAACAGUUUUUUCUUCGGAACGUUUUUCAAAGGUGCUGCAUGGUUGUCGU
rnacentral:rRNA from 1 species